rnacentral:rRNA from 1 species
GUAUUGGCCUACCGUGGCAAUGACGGGUAACGGGGAAUUAGGGUUCGAUUCCGGAGAGGGAGCCUGAGAAACGGCUACCACAUCUAAGGAAGGCAGCAGGCGCGCAAAUUACCCAAUCCUAAUACAGGGAGGUAGUGACAAGAAAUAACAAUACAGGACUUUAACAGUUUUGUAAUUGGAAUGAGUUGAGUAUAAACCCCUUUACAAGUAUCAAUUGGAGGGCAAGUCUGGUGCCAGCAGCCGCGGUAAUUCCAGCUCCAAUAGCGUAUAUUAAAGUUGUUGCAGUUAAAAAGCUCGUAGUUGGAUUUCUGUUAAUAAUUUAUAUAUAAUAUUUAACAUAUUUAUAUAAUAUUAACAUAAUUCAUAUUACUAUUUAUAGUAUAUGAAACUUUACUUUGAGAAAAUUAGAGUGCCUAAAGCAGGCUUUUGCCUUGAAUACUAGAGCAUGGAAUAAUAUUAAAGAUUUUUAUCUUUCUUAUUGGUUCUAAGAUAGAAAUAAUGAUUAAUAGGGACAGUUGGGGGCAUUUGUAUUUAA